GUAGAAAUCAUUGAUUUC
rnacentral:miRNA from 1 species